rnacentral:rRNA from 1 species
ACCUCCUACGGGACGCAGCAGUAGGGAAUUUUCGUCAAUGGGCGCAAGCCUGAACGAGCGAUGCCGCGUGAGUGAAGAAGGCCUUCGGGUCGUAAAGCUCUGUUGCGGGGGAAAAAAGGCGGCAUCAGGAAAUGGGUGCUGACUGAUGGUGCCCCGCCAGAAAGUCACGGCUAACUACGUGCCAGCAGCCGCGGUAAUACGUAGGUGGCGAGCGUUAUCCGGAAUGAUUGGGCGUAAAGGGUGCGCAGGCGGUCCUGCAAGUAUGGAGUGAAAUGCAUGAGCUCAA